GACGAACGCUGGCGGCGUGCCUAAUACAUGCAAGUAGAACGCACAGUUUAUACCGUAGCUUGCUACACCAUAGACUGUGAGUUGCGAACGGGUGAGUAACGCGUAGGUAACCUGCCUGGUAGCGGGGGAUAACUAUUGGAAACGAUAGCUAAUACCGCAUAAUAUUGAUUAUUGCAUGAUAAUUGAGUGAAAGAUGCUAUUGCAUCACUACCAGAUGGACCGGCGUUGUAUUAGCUAGUAGGUGGGGUAACGGCCCACCAAGGCGACGAUACAUAGCCGGUCUGAGAGGAGGACGAGCCACACUGGAACUGAGACACGGUCCAGACUCCUACGGGAGGCAGCAGUGGGGAAUAUUGGACAAGGGGCGCAAGCCUGAUCCAGCCAUACCGCGUGGGGGAAGAAGGCCUUCGGGUUUUAAAGCCCUUUUGUUGGGAAAGAAAAGCAGCAGGUUAAUACCCCGCUGUUCUGACGGUACCCAAAGAAUAAGCACCGGCUAACUUCGUG
rnacentral:rRNA from 1 species